rnacentral:rRNA from 1 species
GGUGGUGGCAUGGUUGUCGUCAGCUCGUGUCGUGAGAUGUUGGGUUAAGUCCCGCAACGAGCGCAACCCUCGACCUUAGUUGCCAGCAUUCAGUUGGGCACUCUAAGGUGACUGCCGGCUAAAAGUCGGAGGAAGGUGGGGAUGACGUCAAAUCAUCAUGCCCCUUAUGACCUGGGCUACACACGUGCUACAAUGGGCGGUACAAAGGGUCGCGAACCCGCGAGGGGGGAGCCAAUCCCAAAAAGCCGCUCUCAGUUCGGAUUGCAGGCUGCAACUCGCCUGCAUGAAGCCGGAAUCGCUAGUAAUCGCGGAUCAGCAUGCCGCGGUGAAUACGUUCCCGGGCCUU